ACUCCACAGGAUACUUCUAACCAGGAUAAUGGAUUUUUCACCCCUUGCCAUCCAUCCGAGGUCACACCAAAACGCAUUUCAGAAAGUCUUGGAGCUAAAUUUGACUCAGACAUGUCCUGGUCCAGUUCAUUAGCAACCCCACCAUCAUU